rnacentral:misc_RNA from 1 species
GGGGGGGGGGUGGGUUUGGUGUGUGGUGUGGUGGGGUUGGGGGGGAAGGAGAGUUAUGAUUUAUCAAUAUGCAUCACUACAAACUGUCCCCACUCCAAAGAAUAAAUUUUGAGAAUUAUAAAUUUGAAACAUUUAAAUACAUGACGAUGGGAACAUUACAAAAUUGAAAACCUAUAUUCUCUGCAGAAAUCACACAACUGGAUGCAAUUACCGUGUUAAGAUUGAAGG